rnacentral:rRNA from 1 species
CGGGGGGGGCAAGCGUUGUUCGGAAUUACUGGGCGUAAAGGGCGCGUAGGCGGCCUGCUAAGUCGGACGUGAAAUCCCUCGGCUCAACCGGGGAACUGCGUCCGAUACUGGUGGGCUCGAAUCCGGGAGAGGGAUGUGGAAUUCCAGGUGUAGCGGUGAAAUGCGUAGAUAUCUGGAGGAACACCGGUGGCGAAGGCGGCAUCCUGGACCGGUAUUGACGCUGAUGCGCGAAAGCCAGGGGAGCAAACGGGGAUUAGAUACCCCGGUAGUCCUGGCCCUAAACGAUGAGUGCUUGGUGUGGCGGGUAUCGAUCCCUGCCGUGCCGAAGCUAACGCAUUAAGCACUCCGCCUGGGGAGUACGGUCGCAAGGCUG